rnacentral:rRNA from 1 species
UACGUAGGUGGCAAGCGUUGUCCGGAAUUAUUGGGCGUAAAGCGCGUGUAGGCGGUUCGGUAAGUCCGCUGUGAAAGUCGAGGGCUCAACCCUCGAAUGCCGGUGGAUACUGUCGGGCUAGAGUACGGAAGAGGCGAGUGGAAUUCCACGUGUAGCAGUGAAAUGCGUAGAGAUGUGGAGGAACACCGAUGGCGAAGGCAGCCCCCUGGGUCAACACUGACGCUCAUGCACGAAAGCGUGGGGAGCAAACAGG